rnacentral:lncRNA from 1 species
UGCCUUUUAGUGACACUGUCACAAUGAGUUGUAAAAUAAAAUAUAGUCAAAUUGCUGAGCAGGUUUGGGGACUGGACUGAGAGGGUGGAGAAAGAAGCCUCUCCGUGAUUCCCAAAGCCAGGAAACUUACAAGGCUUUAGGGAGGUGAUGUCCAUCAGGAAAACACGCUAGAAAGCUAAUUAAAAGUCCUUCAGUACGAGCAACAAGAGGAAACUGCAUGUUUCUUUCUGCUAAAGAUGAUUUUGCUUAAUCUUAUGAAGCUCUUUGUUAUCAGGAUGUGGUUCCACUUGGUAACAUUUAAGAGAUCAAAUAGAUUACAAAAUAUUUUGAUAUACAUAGUCUCAUUUGACAUGCUCAUGAUGAUACUACAAAGUCUUGAACCUUGAAAAUGUUAACCGGUGCAAAGCUCAAUGAUGCCAAUGUUUCACAAAGAGGAGUGGAAGGUGGAAUGAGAUUGUAUCAAAAGUAUCGUGAAAAGCAGGAUGAAGACUUCACCUGGGAGAUUUUAGAAGGCAGCCAUGGUUGUCAAUAUUCUGUGAAUUGGCCCAGAAUUCUAGAUCACUCAUGAACUCUCAGAAAUAAGUUGCUUUCAAGAAAGACCUGUCAUUUCCAGACCAGUGCUUCUUAAACUUAAAGUGCAUACAAAUCCCAUAGGUCUGGGGUGGAGUCUAGGAUUCUGCCUAACAAGUGCCCAGGCAAUGCCGAUGCAGCUGGUUCUGAGAACUCCCAGCAAGGGCAUGGUGAUGAACCACAACCCUUGAUAUGUGUUGCUUGCUGGUCUGGAGAAAAUCAACCGUAAAAAACGGACAGGUGUAACUUGACCUGGGUGUGGGAAGUGAUAGUAACUUUGAGAGAAGGGGAGGAGGAAGAACUGAAAAGAUCUGAUUUUAGGGACACACAAGGCCUGGGUUAAGAAGAGGUGCAGAGGACCCUGCUGGCCCACACCAAGGUCAGGAAUCGGGAGGUGCUACACAGAAGCUCAGGGGGAUGAUCAGCAGAGCUUUUCCUAGUCCAGGGAAUUGGUGCUGGGCAUGGCUUGCCCCGCUGGGCUUCCCUGGACAUCUUACAGGCUAGCUGUCAUAAUGCCGCAUAAAGCCAACACCCACACUCAAUUCUGCUUGAAAUCACGGCUUCUGGAUUUACUUUCUUUUCUAACAGUGUGUCCAACAGCGGUGUGCUUAAACCCCGGCCCUGAAACAAGAUUUUUUUAAAAAAAAAUUUUUUUACUUCAGUAUCCCCAGAGGUACCAAAGUGAGUUCUCGAUCACUUUUCCAAAGAUCCUAGAUAGAAGAACUGUUUUCCUGUGGGUCUUGUGAUAGUUUUAAGAUGAUAAUGCAUAGUGGGGAGGUGUCAAGGAUUAUUUCUCGAACUCCGAAAUGUAUUACCAGUCACACCGUAGCAGAUGACAGCGUUCCGGAAAGGGUGUGGCUUAGAGAAAUAGAAAUUAGGCAAGGGGUUUCCUGCAAAGCCAAAUGAUCCAAUUUUUUUUUUCUGUCCCUUGGAAGGCCAGUGAGUCUCCAAAAUAGAAAUGAAGCUCCCUAGGGCUGGCUUCAGUCAUACUCCUGGAUUGCUAACUGCUGACAUGUGUUUUUAGGAAGAUCGUUGCUAGUGGAAACAGCUUCAGGCAAGUGGCAGCACCCAAGAUUCUCAUGUGACCCCUGCACAAUUUCUGGAGGAACAUGACUUUACCAAAAACAAUAAAUGAAAUCUCACAUCCAUAUGUUUCAGUCAAGUUCAAGGGACUAUUUUGUUGGCCUGAGACCCAGACUGAAAUAAAAUUUUUUUUAAGAUUUGGUCAACAUUAUAAAAUGAAAAAAGUAGAUAAUAGCUGCUCAAAUUGGGCACCCACCUACAAAACAAAUAAUCUACCACUAAAGUCACAGUUUGUAUUUCAGGUUACUUGAUUUUUCAGUAAAAUGUGUCAACAAGCAUAUUCUUCAAAAUAGGAAGCCAAAUGGCAAAUGGUUGGAUAACCGGAAAAUUAAGGGAUUGGUCUGCAAGCAAGCGAAGGCCAUUAAAACCUUAUGCGCUGUAGACACAGCCUUUGAGCCACACUUUUUCUUGCACUGGACUCAUGCAUAGAACAAUUUGAAAUACAGAGACUACAGAUAUGCAUCUAACAGCACACUGGGCACAUGUAUUAUGUUCCUUGUUGCUAAAGGGUUCGGCAAGAUGUAGUUCCUUUUGUAGUAGUGUUCAGAGGGAGGUAAAUAAUGUCAGACCACUGGGCUCUGCACAGUGGGGCAAUAACUUUCAUGCUAAGCCCAUCUGUAGAGGAUAUGUUUCCAUAGUUCCUGUGAAACUUAGGUGGAAUUUGAAUGGCUGUUGAAGGACACGCCAAGGAGGGAAGUGUGGUACAAAAUAAUUUCCUAUCAACAUUGCUUUGUGUCAUAGGAAUCAAAGAAAGUAUGAAAAUCAGGAGACAGACUUAAACCCACAAGGCUUUAUUCCCAGCUGAAAUCUGGGUUUACCUUGACAGAAUAAGGUGAUGAGAAGCAUCAGGAUGUUGAAAACUGGGCCCCCAGAUAUCUCUGUGGAAUGCAUUAACUUUCAGCUAAUGCUCUAGAGAAAGAGCUUUGUAGCUCACCCCAAAUGACAAUUAGCAUCACUCAUCAAAGAAAGCACAGGCAUGCUCACUUUAUGGGAAAGCAGCGAAUGCUCAUGAGAGGGAGAUGACUGACUUGAGUACCCCUGGAAAGAAAUUAGCCCACACAGUGUUUAUGAAACACUUGAUUUACACCCUCGUGGCACUAACUUGGCAUCAUAUCGAGGGGAAGGAUUGGCUUCCUAAUUUGAGAUCAUCUGUGGAGGAAGUAAUGAAGUGGGCCCGAGGUGUCGGGGAAGAGGGAGCACGUUAUUUCAGACGGAAAUGAUCGCAUUCCUUUCUCACAUCUCCCCGGAUCAGUCUGUGAGAGACCCGCAUCUGGGCCUCAUUAGCCAUCCAGUGCGCGGCCUCCAGCUAGCAGCGGAGGCGUCUACACUACCCUCCUUUCCUCUGCAUUGUUUCCCACGACCCUGAGCCUUAUCACAACCUGGGUGUGGC